rnacentral:rRNA from 1 species
AGAACGAACGCUGGCGGCAGGCCUAAUACAUGCAAGUCGAACGCACUCUUCGGAGUGAGUGGCAGACGGGUGAGUAACGCGUGGGAACAUACCUUUUGGUUCGGAACAACACAGGGAAACUUGUGCUAAUACCGGAUAAGCCCUUACGGGGAAAGAUUUAUCGCCGAAAGAUUGGCCCGCGUCUGAUUAGCUAGUUGGUGAGGUAAUGGCUCACCAAGGCGACGAUCAGUAGCUGGUCUGAGAGGAUGAUCAGCCACAUUGGGACUGAGACACGGCCCAAACUCCUACGGGAGGCAGCAGUGGGGAAUAUUGGACAAUGGGCGCAAGCCUGAUCCAGCCAUGCCGCGUGAGUGAUGAAGGCCCUAGGGUUGUAAAGCUCUUUUGUGCGGGAAGAUAAUGACGGUACCGCAAGAAUAAGCCCCGGCUAACUUCGUGCCAGCAGCCGC